rnacentral:rRNA from 1 species
CCCUUCGGGUGAGUGGCAGACGGGUGAGUAACGCGUGGGAACCUACCCAUUGGUACGGAAUAACCCGGGGAAACCCGAGCUAAUACCGUAUACGCCCUCGGGCUUAGGCUUGAGGGGAAAGAUUCAUCGCCGAUGGAUGGGCCCGCGUCGGAUUAGCUUGUUGGUGUGGUAACGGCGCACCAAGGCGACGAUCCGUAGCUGGUCUGAGAGGACGACCAGCCACACUGGGACUGAGACACGGCCCAGACUCCUACGGGAGGCAGCAGUGGGGAAUAUUGGACAAUGGGCGGAAGCCUGAUCCAGCAAUGCCGCGUGUGGGAAGAAGGCCUGCGGGUUGUAAAGCACUUUCAGUGGGGAGGAAGGCCUGGCAGUUAAUAGCUGUCAGGAUUGACGUUACCCAAAGAAGAAGCACCGGCUAACUCUGUGCCAGCAGCCGCGGUAAUACAGAGGGUGCGAGCGUUAAUCGGAAUUACUGGGCGUAAAGGGUGCGUAGGUGGUUAUUUAAGUUAGAUGUGAAAUCCCUGGGCUUAACCUAGGAAUUGCAUUUAAUACUGAGUAGCUAGAGUUUGGGAGAGGGAAGUGGAAUUUCCGGUGUAGCGGUGAAAUGCGUAGAUAUCGGAAGGAACACCAGUGGCGAAGGCGACUUCCUGGCCCGAUACUGACACUG